CCUACGGGAGGCAGCAGUGGGGAAUCUUGCGCAAUGGGCGAAAGCCUGACGCAGCAACGCCGCGUGCGGGAAGAAGGCUUUCGGGCUGUAAACCGCUUUCAGCAGGAACGAAAAUGACGGUACCUGCAGAAGAAGGAGCGGCCAACUAUGUGCCAGCAGCCGCGGUGAUACAUAGGCUUCAAGCGUUGUCCGGAUUUAUUGGGCGUAAAGAGUUCGUAGGCGGUCGAGUAAGUCGGGUGUGAAAAUUCUGGGCUCAACCCAGAGACGCCACCCGAUACUGCUUGACUUGAGUUCGAUAGGGGAGUGGGGAAUUCCUAGUGUAGCGGUGAAAUGCGCAGAUAUUAGGAGGAACACCGGUGGCGAAGGCGCCACUCUGGAUCGAUACUGACGCUGAGGAACGAAAGCAUGGGUGGCAAACAGGAUUAGAUACCCUGGUAGUCCAUGCCGUAAACGGUGGGCACUAGGUGUGGGUUUCUAUUAACGAAAUCCGCGCCGUCGCUAACGCAUUAAGUGCCCCGCCUGGGGGAGUACGGUCGCAGACUAAACUACAANAGAAUUAGACGG
rnacentral:rRNA from 1 species